rnacentral:rRNA from 1 species
UACGUAGGUGGCAAGCGUUGUCCGGAUUUACUGGGCGUAAAGAGCGCGCAGGCGGUCGUAUAAGUCGAAUGUGAAAGCCCCUGGCUCAACUAGGGAGAGUCAUUCGAUACUGUUCGACUCGAAGGCAGGAGAGGGAAGUGGAAUUCCGGGUGUAGUGGUGAAAUGCGUAGAUAUCCGGAGGAACACCAGGGGCGAAGGCGACUGUCUGGCCUGUUCUUGACGCUGAGGCGCGAAAGCUAGGGGAGCAAACGGG